rnacentral:rRNA from 1 species
AAAGGAGCAAUCCGCUUUGAGAUGGCCUCGCGUCCGAUUAGCUAGUUGGUGAGGUAAUGGCCCACCAAGGCGACGAUCGGUAGCCGGACUGAGAGGUUGAACGGCCACAUUGGGACUGAGACACGGCCCAGACUCCUACGGGAGGCAGCAGUGGGGAAUAUUGCACAAUGGGGGAAACCCUGAUGCAGCGACGCCGCGUGGAGGAAGAAGGUCUUCGGAUUGUAAACUCCUGUUGUUGAGGAAGAUAAUGACGGUACUCAACAAGGAAGUGACGGCUAACUACGUGCCAGCAGCCGCGGUAAAACGUAGGUCACAAGCGUUGUCCGGAAUUACUGGGUGUAAAGGGAGCGCAGGCGGGAAGACAAGUUGGAAGUGAAAUCCAUGGGCUCAACCCAUGAACUGCUUUCAAAACUGUUUUUCUUGAGUAGUGCAGAGGUAGGCGGAAUUCCCGGUGUAGCGGUGGAAUGCGUAGAUAUCGGGAGGAACACCAGUGGCGAAGGCGGCCUACUGGGCACCAACUGACGCUGAGGCUCGAAAGUGUGGGUAGCAAACAGGAUUAGAUACCCUGGUAGUCCACACUGUAAACGAUGAUUACUAGGUGUUGGAGGAUUGACCCCUUCAGUGCCGCAGUUAACACAAUAAGUAAUCCACCUGGGGAGUA